rnacentral:rRNA from 1 species
AACGAACGCUGGCGGCGUGCCUAACACAUGCAAGUCGAACGAGAAAGGGGCUUCGGCUCCGAGUAAAGUGGCGCACGGGUGUGUAACACGUGGGUAACCUGCCUCUAAGAUUGGGAUAACUCGUCGAAAGAUGAGCUAAUACCGAAUAAGACCACAGUUCCCGCGGGAACAGGGGUCAAAGGUAGCCUCUGCUUGCAAGCUAUCACUUAGAGAUGGGCCUGCGCACCAUUAGCUAGUUGGUAGGGUAACGGCCUACCAAGGCAAAGAUGGUUAGCUGGUCUGAGAGGAUGGUCAGCCACACUGGAACUGAGACACGGUCCAGACUCCUACGGGAGGCAGCAGUGGGGAAUAUUGCGCAAUGGGCGAAAGCUUGACGCAGCAACGCCGCGUGAGUGAUGAAGGCCUUCGGGUCGUAAAGCUCUGUCGGGAGGAACGAAUGCUCCUGAGGUUAACAGCCUCGGGAGGUGACGGUACCUGCAAAGGAAGCACCGGCUAACUCUGUG